rnacentral:lncRNA from 1 species
UGCAGGUGGAUGGUGAUGGCCACGAACUCGCCGUAGUCCAGGUAACCGUUGCCGUUCACGUCAGCCUGGAAUUGAUUUCGAGCUCUGGAAUUUAAUUAAGGUUACAAUAAUGUUGCAGGUGGAUGGUGAUCCUGGACCUGGUAUCUGGUCGGAUGGAAACAAGCUUUCCGAAUUCAAAAGAAAAAAAAACACUGUCAGGAUGAUGCUUACGGCCUCCAUGAGCAGCUCCAUCUCGGGCUCGGCGAGCUUGGACCCCACCUUCCUGAGCCCGGCCUUGAGCUCCUCCAGCGUCACCCUGCCGUCCUUGUCGGUGUCCAUGAGCGCGAACAUGUCCCGGAUCACCUCCACCUCCUCCACGGACAGGUGCUCCGCGAUCACCCGCAUCGCCUUCUUCUUGAACUUGUUCAUAGCGGAGAACUGCUGCAGGCGCGCCCGGACGACGUCGCCCAGCGGCACGUUGG